AGUGAACGCUGGCGGUAGGCCUAACACAUGCAAGUCGAACGGCAGCACAGUAAGAGCUUGCUCUUACGGGUGGCGAGUGGCGGACGGGUGAGGAAUACAUCGGAAUCUACUUUUUCGUGGGGGAUAACGUAGGGAAACUUACGCUAAUACCGCAUACGACCUACGGGUGAAAGCAGGGGAUCUUCGGACCUUGCGCGAUUGAAUGAGCCGAUGUCGGAUUAGCUAGUUGGCAGGGUAAAGGCCCACCAAGGCGACGAUCCGUAGCUGGUCUGAGAGGAUGAUCAGCCACACUGGAACUGAGACACGGUCCAGACUCCUACGGGAGGCAGCAGUGGGGAAUAUUGGACAAUGGGCGCAAGCCUGAUCCAGCCAUACCGCGUGGGUGAAGAAGGCCUUCGGGUUGUAAAGCCCUUUUGUUGGGAAAGAAAUCCAGCCGGCUAAUACCUGGUUGGGAUGACGGUACCCAAAGAAUAAGCACCGGCUAACUUCGUG
rnacentral:rRNA from 1 species